rnacentral:rRNA from 1 species
UACAGAGGUCUCAAGCGUUGUUCGGAAUCAUUGGGCGUAAAGGGCGCGUAGGCGGCGCGGGCAGUCAACGGUGAAAGCUUGGGGCUCAACCCCGAGUCGGCCGUCGAUACUCCCGGGCUUGAGCACUGUAGAGGCAGGUGGAAUUCCGGGUGUAGCGGUGGAAUGCGUAGAGAUCCGGAAGAACACCGGUGGCGAAGGCGGCCUGCUGGGCAGUAGCUGACGCUGAUGCGCGACAGCGUGGGGAGCAAACAGG